GGGUGGUGAGCAUACUAGGUACAUGCGGCGACCUGUUAAGUCGAGGAUAGGUGGUUCGAAUCCACCACUGCCCGCCA
rnacentral:tRNA from 1 species